GUCAAGUUCACUGAAGUUCAUUGUAGCGGCCGUUUGUUUGUUAGUUGUUUUUUUUUACUGCCUUCUUUCAAAACGGAGUGAUUCCCUGGACGAUAAUACUAACGUUACUAAAGUAACCACAGCGGUGACAGCGGCCACGGAGGCGGAGGCACAAGGAAGGAAACCAGGAGGACAAUCAAGAGUGACGGAGGUUUGAUGGAGAGCAGGUGCGUGGACUUCGUUGACAAACGCAGACUCAGCCUGGAUCUUCAGUCCGGCGCAGCUCCACUCUUCACAGACAGAUGUCACCUGUUUUCACUGUGUGGAAAUCCCCAGCUCUCAGUGCCCUGAAAGUUCCAGAACCAGAAGUCUAGUCCUGGUCCAAAGGUCUUCUGAUACCAGGUCCGUCUGUUGACACCUGUGUUCUGACAACAACAAACCAGGUGCAGUGAACAAGUGUGUCGACAUCCUGAACACACACACACACACACACACACACACACACACGUCACUGUUUGCUGUUGUAGGAAAUGUCCUUGGCUUUUCACUGUUUUCCUGGUGAAUUCCACCCACACAGACCAGUC